UGUUUUCAAUCUAAAAAUCUAGGAGGCAGGUGCUCACUUGUCCUCCUCCAUGCUUGGAAAAUACAGGGAGGAGGCCAUAGUGGCAACUGUCACCAUGAUUGAUUUCGUUGG
rnacentral:pre_miRNA from 1 species